GGCAGUGUGGCACCAUGGAGAGCACAUGGACUUCAGACUCACAUGACCUGGGUUCAAAUCCUGGCUCUUCCA
rnacentral:tRNA from 1 species